rnacentral:rRNA from 1 species
CCUUAGAGUUUGAUCCUGGCUCAGGAUGAACGCUGGCGGCGUGCCUAAUACAUGCAAGUCGAACGAAUCUCUUUUAGAGAUGAGUGGCGAACGGGUGAGUAAUACAUAGGUAACCUGCCCCUGUGCGGGGGAUAACAGGAGGAAACUCCUGCUAAUACCGCAUAGCCAUGAGCACCGCAUGGAGCUCAUGCCAAAUAUCCUUUAUGGGAUAGCGCAGGGAUGGACCUAUGGCGCAUUAGCUGGUUGGCGGGGCAACGGCCCACCAAGGCAACGAUGCGUAGCCGGCCUGAGAGGGCGGACGGCCACAUUGGGACUGAGACACGGCCCAGACUCCUACGGGAGGCAGCAGUAGGGAAUUUUCGGCAAUGGGGGAAACCCUGACCGAGCAACGCCGCGUGAGCGAAGAAGGCCUUCGGGUCGUAAAGCUCUGUUGUAAAGGAAGAACGGCGCAUACAGGAAAUGGUAUGCGAGUGACGGUACUUUACCAGAAAGCCACGGCUAACUACGUGCCAGCAGCCGCGGUAAUACGUAGGUGGCGAGCGUUAUCCGGAAUCAUUGGGCGUAAAGAGGGAGCAGGCGGCCGCAAGGGUCUGUGGUGAAAGACCGAAGCUAAACUUCGGUAAGCCAUGGAAACCGGGCGGCUAGAGUGCGGAAGAGGAUCGUGGAAUUCCAUGUGUAGCGGUGAAAUGCGUAGAUAUAUGGAGGAACACCAGUGGCGAAGGCGACGGUCUGGGCCGCAACUGACGCUCAUUCCCGAAAGCGUGGGGAGCAAAUAGGAUUAGAUACCCUAGUAGUCCACGCCGUAAACGAUGGUCACUAAGUGUCGGGGGUCAAACCCCGGUGCUGCAGUCAACGCAAUAAGUGACCCGCCUGAGUAGUACGUUCGCAAGAAUGAAACUCAAAGGAAUUGACGG